AAAAAAAAAAAACCUGGGUUUGCGUGUCCAACUUUGACUGUCCGUCUUAUAUGAAAUUUUUAUAAUUCGUAUUUUUAUUAUUGUUAGAUGAUAAAAUAUGAUUAAUAUUUUAUGCGUGACUUAUCUUUUUAAUUUUUUUCAUAAUUUUUUCAAAUAAGACGGACAGUUAAACAUUAAGCACGGAAACCAGAGUUUGUCUUUUUU
rfam:Oryza sativa Japonica Group DNA, chromosome 6, cultivar: Nipponbare, complete sequence.